rnacentral:rRNA from 1 species
AGAGUUUGAUCAUGGCUCAGGAUGAACGCUGGCGGCGUGCUUAACACAUGCAAGUCGAACGAACCUUCGGGUUAGUGGCGGACGGGUGAGUAACGCGUGAGAAUCUGCCCUCAGGAGGGGGAUAACAGUUGGAAACGACUGCUAAUACCCCAUAUGCCGAGAGGUAAAAUGAAUUUUGCCUGGGGAUGAGCUCGCGUCUGAUUAGCUUGUUGGUGGGGUAAAGGCCUACCAAGGCUUCGAUCAGUAGCUGGUCUGAGAGGACGAUCAGCCACACUGGGACUGAGACACGGCCCAGACUCCUACGGGAGGCAGCAGUGGGGAAUUUUCCGCAAUGGGCGCAAGCCUGACGGAGCAACGCCGCGUGAGGGAUGGAGGCCUUUGGGCUGUAAACCUCUUUUCUCAAGGAAGAAGAUCUGACGGUACUUGAGGAAUAAGCCACGGCUAAUUCCGUGCCAGCAGCCGCGGUAAUACGGGAGUGGCAAGCGUUAUCCGGAAUUAUUGGGCGUAAAGCGUCCGCAGGCGGCCGUUUAAGUCUGUUGUUAAAUCGUGGAGCUCAACUCCAUCACGGCAAUGGAAACUGUUCGGCUUGAGUAUGGU